UACGUAGGGGGCGAGCGUUGUCCGGAUUUACUGGGCGUAAAGGGCGCGUAGGCGGCCUUCUAAGUCGGACGUGAAAUCCCUCGGCUCAACCGAGGAACUGCGUCCGAUACUGGUUGGCUUGAAUUCGGGAGAGGGAUGCGGAAUUCCAGGUGUAGCGGUGAAAUGCGUAGAUAUCUGGAGGAACACCGGUGGCGAAGGCGGCAUCCUGGACCGAUAUUGACGCUGAUGCGCGAAAGCCAGGGGAGCAAACGGG
rnacentral:rRNA from 1 species